UGGAAGAAGCCCUCUUCAUUUCACCCAGAGCAUUUCCCGGAUGACAAGGGGUAGUUUGUCAAAAGAGAUGCUUUCUUGCCUUUUUCAGCAGGGCGUAGGGUGUGUCUGGGCGAGAGUCUGGCCAGGAUGGAGCUCUUCCUCUUCUUCACCACUCUUCUCCAGCACUUUCACUUCACGCCGCCCCCUGGAGUUUCGGAGGACGAGCUGGACCUGACACCCGCCGUAGGAUUUACCCUCCCCCCACAAGCUGUGUGCAGUUCCAAGGGGCUAUAGUUAUGACAUGGCAGGAGACUCCGAAUGAAGUGAUGAGUUGAGGAGACUGGAGUCUAUGGACAUUAAAGAGUUUGCAUAAUG